rnacentral:rRNA from 1 species
ACAGGGAUUGCCCUAGUAACGGCGAGUGAAGCGGCAACAGCUCAAAUUUGAAAUCUGGCUCUUUUAGAGUCCGAGUUGUAAUUUGCAGAGGGCGCUUUGGCUUUGGCAGCGGUCCAAGUUCCUUGGAACAGGACGUCACAGAGGGUGAGAAUCCCGUACGUGGUCGCUAGCUAUUGCCGUGUAAAGCCCCUUCGACGAGUCGAGUUGUUUGGGAAUGCAGCUCUAAAUGGGAGGUAAAUUUCUUCUAAAGCUAAAUAUUGGCCAGAGACCGAUAGCGCACAAGUAGAGUGAUCGAAAGAUGAAAAGCACUUUGGAAAGAGAGUCAAACAGCACGUGAAAUUGUUGAAAGGGAAGCGCUUGCAGCCAGACUUGCUUGCAGUUGCUCAUCCGGGCUUUUGCCCGGUGCACUCUUCUGUAGGCAGGCCAGCAUCAGUUUGGGCGGUGGGAUAAAGGUCUCUGUCACGUACCUCUCUUCGGGGAGGCCUUAUAGGGGAGACGACAUACCACCAGCCUAGACUGAGGUCCGCGCAUCUGCUAGGAUGCUGGCGUAAUGGCUGUAAGCGGCCCGUCUUGAAACACGGACCAAGGAGUCUAACAUCUAUGCGAGUGUUUGGGUGUCAAGCCCGAGCGCGUAAUGAAAGUGAACGGAGGUGGGAACCCGCAAGGGUGCACCAUCGACCGAUCCUGAAGUUUACGGAAGGAUUUGAGUAAGAGCAUGGCUGUUGGGACCCGAAAGAUGGUGAACUAUGCUUGAAUAGGGUGAAGCCAGAGGAAACUCUGGUGGAGGCUCGCAGCGGUUCUGACGUGCAAAUCGAUCGUCAAAUUUGGGCAUAGGGGCGAAAGACUAAUCGA